AUUGAACGCUGGCGGCAGGCCUAACACAUGCAAGUCGAGCGGAGCGGCGGACGGGUGAGUAAUGCCUAGGAAUCUGCCUGGUAGUGGGGGAGAACGUCAGGAAACGGGAGCUAAUACCACAUACUAUCAGAUGCGCCUAGGUCGGGUUAGCUAGUUGGUGGGGUAAAGGCCUACAAAGGCGACGAUCCGGACCUGGUCUGAGAGGAUGAUCAGUAAACCUGGAACUGAGACACGGUCCAGACUCCUACGGGAGGCAGCAGUGGGGAAUAUUGGACAAUGGGCGAAAGCCUGAUCCAGCCAUGCCGCGGGUGUGAAGAAGGUCUUCGGAUUGUAAAGCACUUUAAGCUGGGAGGCGGUACCAACAGAAAAAGCACCGGCUAACUUCGUGCCAGCAGCCGCGGUAAUUC
rnacentral:rRNA from 1 species